rnacentral:rRNA from 1 species
CUUAUGACCUGGGCUACACACGUGCUACAAUGGUUGGUACAUCGAGUCGCGAGUCGGUGACGGCCAGCUAAUCUCUUAAAGCCAGUCUCAGUUCGGAUUGUAGCUGCAACUCGCCUACAUGAAGUCGGAAUCGCUAGUAAUCGCGGAUCAGCACGCCGCGGUGAAUACGUUCCCGGGCCUUGUACACACCGCCCGUCACACCACGAGAGUUUGUAACACCCGAAGUCGGUGAGGUAACCUUUUGGAGCCAGCCGCCUAAGGUGGGAUAGAUGAUUGGGGUGAAGUCGUAACAAGGUAACCGUUAA